AUGGUGAAUGGGUUCAUCUAUUGGAUACAAGCAAAUGAAGCCGGCUUGCUUGUGGUGAACACCGCAACGCUACAUUUCUCUCGGAUGGAUCUGCCACCAUUCUUGGAAGGGAAAAUUCACCUUGUGUGGCCUGGCGAGGCCAAGGAUGGGAGGCUUUGCAUCGUUUGCCCAGUUGACUUUGGUGUCCAUGUUUGGUUCUGGAGAGCCGAUGAGGACGGCUUGGAGAGAUGGAUGCUAGACAAGAAGUUUCAGUUAGAGUUAAAGUCGAUUGUUGAGGCCACUGGGCGUUCACUAGAAGAUGUUGAGCUGCAUAUCGUGGAUACUGUCGAUGGGUUUGUGUACUUUUCUACCGGUGAAACGUUCCAUAAUGUUCACGCUCCUUCGUGGUUCCUGUCUUUAUGCAUGGAGACGGCGAAGCUGGACAAGCUCUUUCAGAAGAGAUGUGACAGCCAUGUCCGGCCCUACAUCAUGGCAUGGCCUCCCUCUUUGGUAAAUAAUAAGUUGUGCCCUCUACUUGAAGGAGAAGGUGCUUGA
rnacentral:rRNA from 1 species